GAUGAACGCUGGCGGCGUGCCUAAUACAUGCAAGUCGAGCGAACGGACGAGAAGCUUGCUUCUCUGAUGUUAGCGGCGGACGGGUGAGUAACACGUGGAUAACCUACCUAUAAGACUGGGAUAACUUCGGGAAACCGGAGCUAAUACCGGAUAAUAUUUUGAACCGCAUGGUUCAAAAGUGAAAGACGGUCUUGCUGUCACUUAUAGAUGGAUCCGCGCUGCAUUAGCUAGUGAGUACGCUUACCAAGGCAACGAUGCAUAGCCGACUGAGAGGGUGAUCGGCCACACUGGGAACUGAGACACGGGUCCAGACUCCUACGGGAGCAGCAGUGGGAAUCUCGCAAUGGGCAAAGCCUGACGGAGCAACGCCGCGUGAGUGAUGAAGGUCUU
rnacentral:rRNA from 1 species